ACAGUCUUAGAUAGGGAAGGAGAUACUGACCACUUGGCCAUGUAAUCUGACUAAAGAAUUCUCUUUGGGUCAUGUGGUUCUUUAAAUAAAAAUGGCCCUCCUAGGACCAUAGGGAAUGGUAAUACUAGGAGGUGUAGCCUGGUUGGAGGAACUGUCAUUGGGGGUGGGCUUUGAGGUCUUAGAUGCUUAAGCCAGACUCAGCGUGACAUUCCCUCCCUUCCUGAUGCCUCUGGAUCCAGUUGUAGAGCUCUCGGCUACCUCUCCAGCACCAGGUUCAUUUGGACCAAGUCUCAACUUGAGGGGAAGGCAGAAGAUGGAGAAACCAUGGAGGCGUUGUUAGCGUCUACACUGUGUGCUUUAUCUGGUGUAUGAAGGACAGCGAGACAUCAGAGUCUGUGUUGGUUUGGACACUACAUGUGCCUGCUGAUCCACUCAUGCUAACAGGCUAACAGACAAUGGACUGACUUUGUGCUCCAUCCUGGUGAUGGUUUGUUUAAAACUGGGCAUAACUUGGACUUACCUAAGAGUCUCAGUGAGGGAUGGUAUAUAUUGGGUUGGCCUGUGAGCAUCUCUCUGAGGAAUUGUUUUAAGAAAGAUAGUUGAUGUGGUAAGACUCAGCUAACUGUGGGCAGCAGCAGCCCUUAGGCAGGACUCCUGAACUUCAUAAGAGUGUAUUGUGGUGAGUCUGACUCAACCCUCAAUUCUGCUGCUAUGGCAGCAGUCACAGACUGUCUGGAAAAGAAUGGACAUGACUAUCUUCUAACAAAACUCUAUAAGGCAGAUGGUGAAUUAGAUUUGACCUUCAGGCUGUAGUCUGUUGAAUCUGGAACCAAGUUCAAACUAAUGAGUGAAACACAGGCUGAAUAAUAAGGGCGAUCAAGAUUUUUGACAAGAUGAAGGAGACCAAUAUCAGUGAAAUACGACCAUUACGUCACAGCCGACACCAUGUUUGUUUCUCUUCUAAGUUUUAUAUGCACCAGACAGUCCAUCUUCAUAAUAAAAGCAAUGGCACACAUAAUAUUUUCUUGGUGUCACCGAGGCUCUAUAACAUUCCCAAAGUCAUGAAGCUAGUGAGUGGCAGGCAGGGCUGGAUGUUUAGACUCUAAUUAUCUCACAUGAAGUGUCUGGCUAGAAAGAUGUGGCCAGGGGAAACCCCAGGAUGGAGUUGCCAUGAUUUCCUGUCCUUCAGAGCACACCACACUUGGAAAGCCCGGUAGGGUGAAGAGACUGCACGUUGACUGGCUCCAGCUCCAAUUCUCUGUGUGGAGAGGGAAGGGCAGAGAGAGCAGGAGAUCUCUAGGGCACUAACAGAAUGACUGCAACUACGGUGUAAAGAAAAAUUGCAAAAUAAACACUCUUGAACUCACCAUUCCACUUAGGAACGAGUAAUUAUUAAGACCGUAAAAUUCCCCUCUGAGCUUUUUGUGCUUCUACUCCAUUCCCUUGCCCCUAAAAACUGAGUUAUUUCCAUAUUUAGUUAAUAUUUCCCU
rnacentral:sRNA from 1 species